ensembl:snRNA U6 U6 spliceosomal RNA
AUGCUCGCUUUGGCAGCACAUAUGGUAAAAUUGGAACAAUACAGAAAAGCUCAGCAGGGCCCCUGCACAGGGAUGACAUGCAAAUGUGUGAAGCAUUCCAUAUUUGU